rnacentral:rRNA from 1 species
GAUGAACGCUGGCGGCGUGUCUAAUGCAUGCAAGUCGAACGGGGUUGUGGGAGCUUGCUCCUAUAACCUAGUGGCGGACGGGUGAGUAACGCGUGAGCAACCUGCCCUUAGGUGGGGGACAACACUGAGAAAUUAGUGCUAAUACCGCAUAAUGUGCGAUGGCGGCAUCGCCGGGGCACCAAAGAUUUAUCGCCGAAGGAUGGGCUCGCGUCUGAUUAGCUAGUUGGUGGUGUAACGGACCACCAAGGCAACGAUCAGUAGCCGGACUGAGAGGUCGAUCGGCCACAUUGGGACUGAGAUACGGCCCAGACUCCUACGGGAGGCAGCAGCCGAGAAUAUUGGGCAAUGGGGGAAACCCUGACCCAGCAACGCCGCGUGAAGGAAGAAGGCUUUCGAGUUGUAAACUUCUUUGACGAGGGACGAACAAAAUGACGGUACUUCGAAAACAAGCCACUGCUAACUACGUGCCAGCAGCAGCGGUAAUACGUAGGUGGCGAGCGUUAUCCGGAUUUACUGGGUGUAAAGGGCGCGUAGGCGGAACUGUAAGUCUGACGUGUAAUCUAGAGGCUUAACCUCUAAACUGCGUUGGAAACUGCGGUUCUUGUAGUCCACGCUGUAAACGAUGAAUACUAGGUGUGGGGGGUCUGACCCCUUCCGUGCCGGAGUUAACACAAUAAGUAUUCCACCUGGGGAGUACGGCCGCAAGGCUGAAACUCAAAUGAAUUGACGGGGCCCCGCACAAGCAGUGGAUUAUGUGGUUUAAUUCGAUGCUACGCGAAAAACCUUACCAGGGCUUGACAUGGAGAUGACCGCCGUAGAGAUACGGUUUCCCCUUCGGGGGCAUCUCACACAGGUGGUGCAUGGUUGUCGUCAGCUCGUGUCGUGAGAUGUUGGGUUAAGUCCCGCAACGAGCGCAACCCCUAUUGUUAGUUGCUACGCGAGAGCACUCUAGCGAGACUGCCGUUGACAAAACGGAGGAAGGAGGGGACGAUGUCAAAUCAUCAUGCCCUUUAUGUCCUGGGCUACACACGUAAUACAAUGGCGCAUCAACAAAGGGAGGCAAAGCCGCGAGGUGGAGCAAAUCCCCAAAAGGCGUCCCAGUUCGGAUCGCAGGCUGCAACCCGCCUGCGUGAAGUCGGAAUUGCUAGUAAUCGCGGAUCAGCAUGCCGCGGUGAAUACGUUCCCGGGGCUUGUACACACCGCCCGUCAUGCCAUGAGAGCCGGGAACACCCGAAGCCUGUGAGCUAACCGCAAGGGGGCAGCAGUCGAAGGUGGGUUUGGUGAUUAGGGUA